UCCUGACUGACCGAUAGUGAACCAGUACCGUGAGGGAAAGGCGAAAAGAACCCCGGCGAGGGGAGUGAAAAAGAACCUGAAACCGUGUACGUACAAGCAGUGGGAGCACGCUUAGGCGUGUGACUGCGUACCUUUUGUAUAAUGGGUCAGCGACUUAUAUUCUGUAGCAAGGUUAACCGAAUAGGGGAGCCGAAGGGAAACCGAGUCUUAACUGGGCGUUAAGUUGCAGGGUAUAGACCCGAAACCCGGUGAUCUAGCCAUGGGCAGGUUGAAGGUUGGGUAACACUAACUGGAGGACCGAACCGACUAAUGUUGAAAAAUUAGCGGAUGACUUGUGGCUGGGGGUGAAAGGCCAAUCAAACCGGGAGAUAGCUGGUUCUCCCCGAAAGCUAUUUAGGUAGCGCCUCGUGAAUUCAUCUCCGGGGGUAGAGCACUGUUUCGGCAAGGGGGUCAUCCCGACUUACCAACCCGAUGCAAACUGCGAAUACCGGAGAAUGUUAUCACGGGAGACACACGGCGGGUGCUAACGUCCGUCGUGAAGAGGGAAACAACCCAGACCGCCAGCUAAGGUCCCAAAGUCAUGGUUAAGUGGGAAACGAUGUGGGAAGGCCCAGACAGCCAGGAUGUUGGCUUAGAAGCAGCCAUCAUUUAAAGAAAGCGU
rnacentral:rRNA from 2 species